rnacentral:rRNA from 1 species
ACAACUACGGUGGCAGCAGUCGAGGAUCUUUGGCAAUGAGCGCAAGCUUGACCAAGCGACGCCGCGUGUGCGAUGAAGGCCUUCGGGUUGUAAAGCACUGUCGAGGGGGACGAAGCCGCAAGGUUGACCGAUCCCUGGAGGAAGCACGGGCUAAGUUCGUGCCAGCAGCCGCGGUAAGACGAACCGUGCGAACGUUGUUCGGAAUCACUGGGCUUAAAGGGCGCGUAGGCGGCUUGCCAAGUCAGUGGUGAAAUCCUGCAGCUUAACUGCAGAAGUGCCUUUGAUACUGGCGAGCUCGAGGGAGGUAGGGGUAUGUGGAACUUCUGGUGGAGCGGUGAAAUGCGUUGAUAUCAGAAGGAACGCCGGUGGCGAAAGCGACGUACUGGACCUUUUCUGACGCCGAGGCGCGAAAGCUAGGGGAGCAAACGGGAUUAGAUACCCCGGUAGUCCUAGCCCUAAACGAUGGGUACUAGGUUGUGGACUAACAUGGGUUCACAGCCGA